AUGUUGCAUAUUGCGGUUUGUGAACAUGCAUGCGAGUUUGGUGAUCUCGAGAGCGGGAUUGGGAACUUCGCUGAAAGAACUAAUCCUCAGUGGGAGCUGGUCAUCCGUGGCUCCAAAAACUUGCUACUCAGAGAGGCUCACAUCGCCUACUUUAGGCCGCUGGAGCAGCAGCUGACAUUUAUCAGAGCAGUGCUGGAGCGAGCUCCCAAUCUGCAGAGGGUCAUGCUGAACAAAGAUGGUGAGAGAUGCAUCAAAUGUGAUGCAAUGGCCCUCGAUGUGCCGCCAAGUGGGUCAGCUCGGCCAGCGUUUCCAAGGAACAAGGAGGAGCAAGACAUGGUGGUCAGGCGGGUCACAGACGCUCUUUCUCUGGCAAAAUAA
rnacentral:rRNA from 1 species